GCAGAAUAUACCAGGCAAUAUCUUUGCAGUUUGUACCUCCUAGUUACUAUACUGCAGGUACUCCCGCCUGCACAUACCAUAACACUAGGAUUUCCAGUGUUUUUGUAGUUUUACUGCAGAAUAUACCAGGCAACAUCUUUGCAGUCUGCACCUCCUAGUUACUAUACUGCAGAUACUCCCGCCUGCACAUACCAUAACACUAGGAUUUCCAGUUUUUGUAGUUAACCCCUCUCUUCCCAUAGCCUGUUGGUCAUUAAGCCAGUUCCUGCAGAAUCCUCCCAUGAAACCC